rnacentral:rRNA from 1 species
GACGAACGCUGGCUGCGUGCUUAACACAUGCAAGUCGAACGCUGAAGCCCGCAGCUUGCUGUGGGUGGAUGAGUGGCGAACGGGUGAGUAACACGUGAGUAACCUGCCCCUGACUUCGGGAUAAGCCCGGGAAACUGGGUCUAAUACCGGAUACGACCAUCGGACGCAUGUCUGGUGGUGGAAAGUUUUUUCGGUUGGGGAUGGGCUCGCGGCCUAUCAGUUUGUUGGUGAGGUAAUGGCUCACCAAGACGACGACGGGUAGCCGGCCUGAGAGGGCGACCGGCCACACUGGGACUGAGACACGGCCCAGACUCCUACGGGAGGCAGCAGUGGGGAAUAUUGCACAAUGGGGGAAACCCUGAUGCAGCGACGCAGCGUGCGGGAUGACGGCCUUCGGGUUGUAAACCGCUUUCAGCAGGGAAGAAGCGAAAGUGACGGUACCUGCAGAAGAAGUACCGGCUAACUACGUGCCAGCCGCCGCGGUAA